rnacentral:lncRNA from 1 species
UGAAAUUUAUCUAUGCAAACAUCAUGUAUUAUAUAUGGUUAAUUCAACCAAUUCAAUUAAAAACCCUAAUCAAUUCCCCAAAUCAAUCUCGUCACUUCCUUUCUCACUCUACAAGCUCUUCUUUCUCUCUAUAACAAAUCGCCACAGAAAAUCAGUCACCGACGACACCGGUUCCGAUGUGAGACUGGCAUCGCUACAAAGAAGAGUAGCGGCGGCUACAAGGGGCACGACGGUGACCUCUCCCCAAGAGCGCUGCUAUUGUGCUAACAUGAGCCGGAAGAAGACGCCGUCGGAGAUACGUCUUACUCGGAUUUUUGUGAGCCACAGCUCAAAGCAGCGCUUGCGACUGCGCUCACCAUGAUCCUCCAGGCACUGAUUGGGUUAAAGAGGUGUUGUUUUGUGAUGAAAGCUCUGUGAAUGGCGUUGCUUCACGAUGGAUUCAAAUAUGGUGUGGUGGUGACGUGGAGCGAUGAAUUUAUCCUACCCACUUUGGGUAGAAGAUCAUAUCUAUAACUAAACAUAAAGUGCAUUUAUAGUUUUCUUUGUUAG